GUGUGAGUCACUUAGCCUGCAAGGGCUGACACUGUAAAGGACACAACUGUAUUACAGCUGUGUACUUCUAAAACGCCUUUGGAUGGCAUUCACUAGAGCAGUGCUUCUUCAUCUUUUUGAAACUGUGAAGCCUUAUACGAAACAAAUCUGACCUGUGAAAUCUCUAUGACAAUGCUGGAAAAAAAAGAUGCCACUUGAGGGCAGAUGACCCCACCCUCAUCACGCUGAAAUGUCCCAUCACUUUCUGUCUGAACUAUAUACAGGCAACAAUUCCUGGAAGGAAGCAUCUCAGUCUUGACCUGAGUCUACUGCAGGACGGAGCUCACCAACACAGCAGAUAGCCAUCAGAGGUUAUGUUUACUUUACUUGUUUACAUUAUUUUCUGUGCUGGACCAUUUAUUUCACUGCCAAGAGCCAUUUUUUCUUGUUUUGUUAUUAAAUGGGGUGUCCGUGUUAGCACCCCAACUUUUCUUUGGACUUUGUUUUUUCGCUCAUAUCUGACAGGGCAUAUGUGUUAGUGAAUUAAAUGUACAUAAUUUUGGUAUGGGAUAAUGAAAUCAAGAAGGUUCACAACAACAUGGUCAGACUGAUGUCGUAAAUUCUGAAGUUAUGCCACUUAAUUCUGCAUAUGUCAUCUGUUUUAAGUUUGCAUUUUUAUUAUUUUUUGUCACUGCUAUUACCAAAAUAAGAUGUGAUGUUAAACAAAGACAAAAACAACAGAUUGACUUGAUGGAUGCAUAGGAAUAUCUGCUUAGAAUGCAUCAUCCCAAGUGAAAGCACAUUUCUGUAAAAGCAAUCGACUUUAAAGACUCAUAAACUAUUUUUCUUAAUUUCGAUUUGCAAAUGCUAUAUUAAUUUGAAAAAAUGGCAAAGCAUAUACACUUGAAUCCUUUUAUAAGUAGAACUCUGAUCAAAAGCUUAAUAAAGAAGGAAAAUGAGAACUGUGUACAGUAAAAGCAUUAUAUUGGUGGCACAAUUACCUGUGCAAUUCAAAGGAUAAUCACAAGUGGUAAGCACAUUUACCUACAUUAUUAAGUCGUCUUAUUUCACAUUCUUGCUGUUCCUUCUUCCUUCUUAAGUGUGCAUUUUGUUCAUGUAGGCACUGAUUCUGUCUUGUAACUUCUUUUAAUGCUGCACACAUAUUUUCAUUUUCUUCCUAGAAAGAAAACAGCAACCAACAUCAUGCAACAUCUGCCCAUUUUGAGCAUUAAAAAUAUCAUAGGCCUUAAUCCUCACCCAAGUGUGAUCUUUUAUUGGUACUUGUGUUUUCCUUCAGGGUAGUUCCUCUACAACUCUUCUACACCAACAUGCAGUCUUGAUCUGCUGUUUCAGAGCCUCCAGAGAAGACACUGUUACAUCGCUCUUCAAGCCCUGCAGAAGAAAACAUGGAGUCACAGAAAAGAAAUGAACUGAUUGUCAGUCAGGCUUCUAGGAAAAGAUCACAACUCUCACAAUGGCAUCACACUGUUAUUCCUCUUCUGUGAUCACGUGCUUCCUUCUAUAAUGGCUGAAAUCAAAUAAUCUGUUAAUUAUAAGUUUUAAACAAUGUCACAAUUUGCUGUUUUCCCGGGAUGUCCUAUCUAAGAGGCCAGAGAAAAUCAAGAUGAAAAGAACUCCAGAUGUUCAAAGUGGGUUGUUUCCAUAUGUUGGACCAGGAAAAUUGCUGAUGAGAAUGGGCAUGGCCAUGCAGCGAACAGGAAGACAGCAGGAAAUAACACCAUUCCAUUAGAUCAGAAACAAAAGGUAACACAUAUCUUUUGGUCAUGAGACCUGGAACAAGUACAAAAGAAGAAUAUCCAGAAGAGCAGGUCAGUUUACUUCUGGAUGUUAAGGGAGAAAGAACUCAAUUGAAGACUGGCCAAAGGUAUAUUACAAAGGUAACUGGGAGACCAUACCCUACAAACCAAAGGAUAAUCUCCAAGUGGGCCUGGCAGAAUUACAAGAAAAGGCUGUAAUUUAUUAGUUUAAUAUAGCUGACAUUUUUCAAUGUAGUCUUCAACUAAAUCAGUAUUCUGAAGCAUUGCUGGCCUUUUGGAUAUUUCAGUGCCAUUGAAUGAUUACUUCAUAUUUAAUCUAUCUCUGUUUUCUAGAAAGAAGGGGGAUGAGGUAUCUGAUUUGAAUAAGACACAACAAUAUAAGGUUUACUACUCUGUAAUAUAUGUGUUGAAAUGAAACCAUGAGGUCAACAAAAUUAUUGAAAAAUUCUCUGUAUUGCAUGUGUGAGCAUGUAUAGUGAUUAAAAUAAAGUUUCAGUGUUACUGUGUUUAUAAAUGUGUCAAA